GAUGACUAAUGGGGAGGCCCAAGAAGCCACUAUCUCGCCAUGAUACAAGAGAGAUUGCCCUACAUCUGUCACCCCCUCAAGGCUCACUCUCACCCCUUCCUUAGUAGAAGAUGGAUGGGAAGAUUGUAAGAGUGGAGGAAAGGGUGCAACCUGGACUGUUCAGUCUCAUAUCUCAUGUUAUGAUUAUUUGAAGUGUUCAAAAAUUUGUAACAUUACCACUAUGAGUAAGAAACAUGCAAGUGCACUGGGUUACAUGUCAUGCAUGGUUUGAUUUUGUCUGAAGAGGAUAGACUGACUUUCUGAGAUGUUCUCACAGAUCUGUAAGAUACUCAGAGUUAGCAUUUGUGAUGGCUAAUCCCGGGUGUCAACUUGACCAGGUCUGGGAUUAACUGAAAUGAGAGAGAUCUUCUUAA